rnacentral:lncRNA from 1 species
GGGGUGGCCUGGGAGUUGGGGGCGGGGUCAGUCAUAUAAAGGCUGUGCCCAGCGCUUUUGGAAGCGGUAAGUCCAGCCCUAGGCUAAAGGGGUGUUAAUCACUGAAGGGAGGUAGAGUGUUUUUCCCCACCAGAGGAGGCAGCGACCACGUCUCCUCUAUGGAGGCAUUCAAGAGCCAUCCAGCUGAAGCAGCAUCACUGUCUGAGCUUGGAAGGCACAAUCCACAUCGGUCUGCAUGGUCCACCGAGCUGCAUACCCACGGGGCCAGCGGGAGGUGGGCAGCUGCUGGGCUUUCUUCUGAAGCAGACAGGAUCUCAGUCUGUUGCCGAGGCUGGAUCACAGCUCCCUGCAACCUUGAAUUCUCCCUCAAGCAAUCCUCCCCACUCUGCCUUCCAAAGCACUGGCAUUACAGGCCUAAGCCACCACUCCCAUCCACUGUAGUGUAAACUAUCUCCUUCAGUGUUUCCAGUAGUUGCAGAGCAGAUCAGAUAAGGGUUCUUCCUGUCUAUUGCUUCAAGUUUCAUUCUCUCUUUAAACGAUAUAAGGUUGGCUUCCAUGGUUCCUUCUUAAAGAAUGUUGAAGGUGUGUCUUCAGAUCCAUUUAGCGUUCAUGGAACCCCAGGGAAAGCUGAUGUAAAACCCUCUUUUUUCUCCCAAAUGUCUCAAAAAGUUGUAUUUUCUGGGUCCAAGGGAUCUGCAAGCCUCCUAAAGGCAUUUCCAUUGUCACCACCAUCAAGUGUCAACAGUAAUCUGGCACCUAUAGUUCCAAGAACUGUCAUAAUAGAUGCUGAAGAAACAUUGUGAAGGUAACUUGCUGUUACCAACUGUGAAGUCAUUAGCUAGAGGAAUCUUGGGCGGUCUGAAAUCUGAAAUACUGUGGAAAGAACAGAAAGAUCCUGUAUCUUUCCUAUAAUUGUUCUACUGAAAGUUGUCAUUUUACACAGGAGACAUUCUGUUUUAUUUAUUUGGUUUUGAGACAGGGUCUCACUCUGUCGCCCAGGCUGGAGGGCAGUGUUGUUACCACAGGUCACUGGUGCCUCCACUGCCUGAGGACUGCUCAAGCAAUCCUCCUACUCAGUGCCCUGAGGAGCUGGGGCCACAGGCCUGCACCACCACGCCUGGCUAAUUAUUUUUAUUUGUAGAGAUAAGGUCUAUCUUGCCUAGGCUGAUCUCGAACUCCUGGGCUCAAGUAAUCCUCCCGCCACGGCUUCUCAAAGUGCUUGGGAUUACAGAUGGUCUUGCUCUGUCACCCAGUCUGGAGUGCAGUGGUGCCAUCAUAGCUCACUACAGCCUGAGCUGUACUGAGCUCAAGGGAUCUUCCCAUUUCAGCCUCCUAAGUAGCUGGGACUACAGGUAAUGGAAGUGGGCAGAGAAUGAUCCUUUCCCUAGGCUCCAGUGUGUAAGAAUUAAAGAAAGAGGAAAGAAACACGAUGGCUUGAUGGUCAAGGACAGGUUUAUUUUAAAGGAAACAAACCCAAGAGUGGCUUCUGGCUGAGUUAGAUCAGAGAAGUGAUUUUCUUGAAAUGCAUGAGGCUGGAAAGGGAGCGGGAACUUAAAGUAGUGGUGUUUGUCCGAGAGGAUGGUGCUCCUGCUCUGUCACAGUGGGCAUGGGGAUUCAGGCCACUGCCACCAAAUUUCAGAGCCCAAGCACACAGCCCAGAACUAAAUUGUGAGGGUUUAAAAAAAACCAGCUUUAUUGAAGUAUAAUUGACAUACAAUAAACUUGAAUAUUUAAAGUGUA